CUUUGGAAGAACAUCGUUCUCUGACCCCUAGAAGUCAGGAUUUUGUAGCAGUGUGCUACCUAAAGGAAUCUAAGGGAUCAGACGCUGUAGAUUCUCUGACAUUCCUUCUCUGGUGCCUGUCCCACUUUCUCUUCCAGUGGUUUUAGAUCACAAAACACCAUGAGCACAAAUCAGCUAAAGCGCCGUGGAGAAGCAGAUGAUUCUGGUCAAACUCAGAAACGGAGCAGGCUGAUCGCUCCUAGGAGAGCUGGAGCUUCAGAGCCAAAGCCAGACUUCAAAGAAAGUGGUACACUUUCUUUUGAACUUGCUGGUGAGGAAUUCAUAGGUGUCACUGCUGACUCUUCUGACUCUGAAGACAUCAAUCUAAUUGUCAGUGACUCUGGCAGUGUUGUGCAGUGUGAGCAAAACCAGCAGCAUCCACUUGUUUCCAGAACAGAAGAUGAUUCAGCCAUUCUACUGGCAAGUGAGAAAGAUGUGGAACCAAAAGAUAGUGAUGGCGCAUGGCCAUCAGGUACUCUUAGUUCUCCAAACUGGAUGGAUGAGUACUUAGAGUGGGAGCAGAACCAGGAGUACCCACUUCUCUCCACACCAGUGGAUGAUUCAGUUGUUCUACUGGCCAGUGAUGAUGAUGAAAUACUGAGAGAUAACAAUGGGCUCUUUGGUCCCUUAGCAAGUGUGGUUUACAAGGAUUGCUUCUUAUGGCAGACGGAGCAAAACCAGCAGCACCCACUUGUUUCCAGAGCAGGAGAUAAUUCAGCCAUGCUACUGGCAAGUGAUGAAGAGGAAGGAAGAAACAACAAUAGCGCAUGGCCAUCAGGUACUCUUAGUUCUCCAGACUGGAUGGAUGAGUACUUAGAGAUUAAAUUACAGGGUAUGAACAACAAAGAAGCCAGCAGCUGUUGGACAGCUCUGUACUGA
rnacentral:lncRNA from 1 species